rnacentral:lncRNA from 1 species
UUGCCAGAUACUUGUUAAGUUAAGGAUGCUCGCUCCUCUCGUUUUAGAAUUUUUGCCAGAUAUUCGUUAAGUUAAGGAUGCUCGCUCCUCUUGUUUAAGAUUUUUUGCCAGAUAUUCGAAAUCCUCUGGUUUUAUCCAUGUAGUGCCCAUUAACCCCUACAUUGAUUGCUUCGUCGUCUUACUCGCAUUCUUCAUAACAGACUUAGCUUUUUUUUUUUUUUUUUACAAUUAUACAUUCUUAUUGAUGAUGCACGCUGUUCCCCGGUGUAAUUUUGUUUUGAAAUCGAAAUUAAAGAAACGCAAUGUGUGAAAAUACGGUGAAUUGUACCUCAAUUUAUGCAAUUCCGCUAAGAAGCCCAUUCGUUUUUAAAUGGCCACCGAAAAACGUCGGUAGCAAAAUAGAAAAAGGAAAUUUAUUUUGGAAAGAAUACUGAUAGAAUUUUGCGGGGAUGGGAGGGAGGGGACCAACCGUACAAGCAGACGUAUAAACUCAGACAGAAAAUGGUUUCGGUUUGCAUAGAAUGAAAAAAGAAGGGUAGUUGAACUUGGCUAUUUGGCCGUAUAACUUUCCCUAUGUUUCAAGUGUAAACUGUAUUUAAAAUUUAUUGGACUGUACAGAAGAAGUCCGAUAUGGUUUCGGAAGCUUGUUUAAAAUAAACUACUAGCAUUUUUAUCGUAACAGUCUAUACAGGACAGCAACAUCGGAAUAAGAAGAAAGUUAACAAAGGCUUAAACAUAUGUGAUGUCAACACUAAAUGUCUACUCGGUUGGGACGAAAUAAAAUUAAAUCAUUCAGAUCCCGUUACAUAUUUU